rnacentral:rRNA from 1 species
UACGUAGGGGGCAAGCGUUGUCCGGAUUUAUUGGGCGUAAAGAGCGUGUAGGCGGCCUGGAAGGUCAGCUGUGAAAACUCGAGGCUCAACCUCGAGACGUCGGUUGAAACCACCUGGCUAGAGUCCGGAAGAGGAGUGUGGAAUUCCCGGUGUAGCGGGUGAAAUGACGCAGAUAUCGGGAAGAACACCCGUGGCGAAGGCGGCACUCUGGGACGGUACUGACGCUGAGACGGCGAAAAGCGUGGGGAGCGAACGA